CGACCCAGUGAAGGGAAAACAGCAAUGCUGCGCUGAGCCUCGCUCUCCCCGUCCUGGGCUGGAGAGUGAGCCUCUGCCGGCUAGGCGGCAGCUCCCAGGCCGGUGCCUGUCCUUCAGAGGGGUGCGCUGGUGGCAAAGGAGUCUAAGGGUAUCUUCUCGGCCAUUUUAUUUCCUGACAGAAAUGAAAAAGAGCCUAAGGAGUACCGUCUGCGGAGAGGCCAGCUUGGAAGAACCUGUUUGCAGCAAAGGCGGAUGGCGGUCAGAAGACGGCCUCGUGGGGUCUCUGCCAGGCCUGUUUGGAGGACCGGGCGGCUGAGGGACUGGAGUGCAGGGCUGCCGGAUCCGUGUCUGCCGGAUCGGUCUGGCCUCUCCAAGCGCGGUUCGGCCUCGCGAAGCUGUGCAACAGGUCUGGUCCCAUUUCAUCUGGCUUUCUCCUCCCGUGGAAUGAUAAGCUCUUCAAACAGACAUUCCUUCCUUGUGCCCGGUAAGGCUUAGUGGAAGCACAAAGCAAGAAGAGGUGUGGGUAAAGACAGAGAAAACUAAGUGGACAGGGAGAGAUUGGAGGCCUGCACAGCAUGACCGGGACCGCAUUUUGGGCAGGUGUGAGAUAACACACAUACAAAUGUAACACUCAUUCAUCUAAAGGUAUUUGAGGGCCAUUUUGUGUCAAGUCACAGUAAAUAAAUAUAAGCAAAUGAAAAGUUGCGCCUUCACCCUCUCGUGGAGCAUAUAUGAAAGAAUCACAGAAGUCAUGUAAAGGUGAGAGCUGUAGAAAUGCCAAAGAGUGUUACCUCAUCCUAUGAGAGCAUUAAAUAGUAGCAUUUGAUCAAAUUAGGGAAAUCAGAGAAGGCUUCCCUGAGGAAGUGAUACUUGAGACCUGAAGGUUGACUAGGAGUUCACCUGUUGAAUUGGAAAAGGAGGAGCAUCUCAGUUGGGCAGGGCAGCCUGGGGCCCGAGAACAUAUCUAUAAUAGACAGAAACAGCAAAGGGUUACAAUGAAGAGUAUGUAAAGGACUGUUACAGAUCGACUAGAAGAGCACAAAGCAAUCUCCUGAAAAUAGGCAAAAGACACACAAAAAUAAUGGAAGGAAACAUAUGUGGCUGAUAAACACAUAUAGAGAUGUUCAGUCUAAUUAGUGAUCAGGGAACUGCCGAUACCAUUUUACAGCAUUGACUGGCAAUGAGGCUGACAACUUACAUGUAGAAUUAAAAAAAAAAAAUGACCUAAAAAACCAAGCUCAUAGCUACAGAGGACAGAUUGGUGGUUGCUUGGGAGUGAAAAGGAGUCACAGGUUACAGACUUCCAGUUAUAAAAUCAGUAAGUCCAGGGGAUAGGAUGUACAGGUGACUACAAUUAAUAAUACUGUAUUGCAUACUUGAAAGUUGCUAAGAGAGUAGACCCUAAAAGAUCUCAUCACAAGAAAGAAAAUUCUGUAACUGUGUGUGGGGACAAAUGUCAACUACACUUACUGUGGUGGUCAUUUCACCAUAUAUACAAAUAUUGAAUCAUUAUGUUGUACACUCGAAACUACUCUAAUGCUAUAAGUCAAGUAUACCUCAAUAAAAAAAAUAAACAGCUGACCAUACCAAGUGUUGCAGAGCAUAUGGAACCAUGGGGUCUUUUACACAUGUCUGGUGGGGGUGUGAACCAGGGCAACCACUUUGGCAGUCAGCUUCCAAGUGCUUCCUAAAGCCAAACAUAAAACCAACCCAUACAUCCAUCAAUGCACACCAAGAAAUGUACCAAGGGGCGCGUGUAAGAAUGUUCAUGGCAGUACUGUUUAAUCAAAAACCAAGCAAACCAGGAAACGAUGUGAUUGGUGAUCAACAGAAGAGUGGGUAAGUAAACUACAGUAUGUCCACACAAUGGCAUAUUGAACAUUAAACAGAUGGACAACCAUAACAUGCAACAAUAUGGAUAAACUCUAGUAAUGUAAUAUUAAAUAGAAAACAAGUCUCCAAAUAAUAUAAAGUCAAAACAGCUAGAAUUACUUCUAGAAAUAUGUGCUGUAUUUUACACACACACACACACACACACACACACACACACACACACUCUAGAAACAGUAAGACAAGGGAAUGGUAAACACAAGAUUCAGGAUGAUGGCUGGUAACCAGGAUGAUGAGAUGUGAGGUCACCAGAUGGUUUGCUGUAGAUUGUUUGCUUUUGUUUUGGUCAGUGGGAUUAUGAGUGCUCAUGACAUUGCAAAAAAAUUACUUAUCAACCUAAAGAAAUAAAUAAGUAAAUAAGCCAUCCUAUAUCUGAGCAAUGAAGACAGUGAGUCAUUAAGUGAAGAUUAUGAUUGAUACAAUUCUGCUUCUCUGAGAUGAGAAAAAAAAAGUCAUGUACUUGGGGGAGGGGAUGAGAAAAAGCCACAUGCCUGAGAGAGGAGUGUGUGAGGUAAGGGAUGGGGCUCAGGUGAGAGGUAGGGGAGAGAGCUAUGUAGGAUCUUAUAGGGCCUGUUAAUGACUUGGAUUUAAUGGGGUAGUAUGAUGACAUGGUCUUUAUAUUUCAAAGGUCUCAUUCUGGCUGCAUCGUGGGUAUUUUAUUAGUGGUGGUCAGAGAGAAUAUGGGGAAGGCUGGUUGGGAGGCUGUAUCUACUGUAGGUAAGAGGUGAUGGUAGCAUGGAUUAAGGUGAGAUAAUGAGAGAAGCAGGUGAACUUAAAUAACAGUAAGUAAAAACUGAUAAUUUUAGAUAGAAUAUGGGGCAUGAGAGUCAAUGAUGAUGCCUCCAUUUUAUUUGUGAAGGAGGUGGAUGGUGGGCUAUUUACUGAGAAGAAAGUGAGUUUAGUUUUGACUAUGUUGGAUUCGGAUGCUUUUGAGAUAUGCCAGUGGGCAGCUGGAUACUGGGCUCCAUAACUUCCAUGGGACCUGAGUUAGCUGAGGAUGUACAAGGGAGUCAUGGAUAUGUGGGUGGGGAUUAAAAUUGUGGAAGUUGAUAAGAUUACCUAGAAAGAAACAGUGUAGUGAGAAGAAAGCUGUUGUAAAAACAAAAUUUAAGUAGACAAUUAAAUUAAAACAGGCCACACAUAUCCUAUGAUGAACGUGUAUCAUGAAUCAAAGAUUAUGAUUAAUCUAGUU